AUGUGCGAGUCGCUGUGCAAAAACAAAAGAAAAUUUAACAAAAUAAAGCAAAUCAAAAUAUACAUAAGUUGGAUCUAACUGUAAAGGCAGCAGGCAGAGCAGCGAAGGCAACAAUAAUACAAAACAAAACAACGUGGGAGGCGAGAGAAUAGCCAGAGAGAGAGCGACAAAGAGAGCGAGAGAGAGAGCAAGUGAAACGAUCUCUGUACAAGGCCAACACAAAUCUAUGGAUAAAUGUAAACAGCAAACAAUGUACAAAAAAUAAACAAAUUGAAAGAAU